rnacentral:rRNA from 1 species
CCUACGGGUGGCAGCAGUGGGGGAUAUUGCACAAUGGGGGGAACCCUGAUGCAGCGACGCCGCGUGGGUGAAGAAGCGCCUCGGCGCGUAAAGCCCUGUCAGCAGGGAAGAAAAUGACGGUAUCUGAAGAAGAAGCCCCGGCUAACUACGUGCCCGCAGCCGCGGUAAUCUGUAGGGGGCAAGCGUUAUCCGGAUUUACUGGGUGGAAAGGGGGCGCAGACGGCGAUGCAAGCCAGGAGUGAAAGCCCGGGGCCCAACCCCGGGACUGCUCUUGGAACUGCGUGGCUUGAGUGCAGGAGGGGCAAGCGGAAUUCCGGGUGUAGCGGUGAAAUGCGUAGAUAUCAGGAGGAACACCAGUGGCGAAGGCGGCCUGCUGGACUGCAACUGACGUUGAGGCCCGAAAGCGUGGGGAGCAAACAGGAUUAGAUACCCCGGUAGUC